AGCGAACGCUGGCGGCAGGCUUAACACAUGCAAGUCGAGCGGGCCCUUCGGGGUCAGCGGCAGACGGGUGAGUAACACGUGGGAACGUACCCUUUGGUUCGGAAUAACGCUGGGAAACUAGCGCUAAUACCGGAUACGCCCUUUUGGGGAAAGGCUUGCUGCUGAAGGAUCGGCCCGCGUCUGAUUAGCUAGUUGGUGGGGUAAUGGCCUACCAAGGCGACGAUCAGUAGCUGGUCUGAGAGGAUGAUCAGCCACACUGGGACUGAGACACGGCCCAGACUCCUACGGGAGGCAGCAGUGGGGAAUAUUGGACAAUGGGCGCAAGCCUGAUCCAGCCAUGCCGCGUGAGUGAUGAAGGCCUUAGGGUUGUAAAGCUCUUUUGUCCGGGACGAUAAUGACGGUACCGGAAGAAUAAGCCCGGGCUAACUUCGUG
rnacentral:rRNA from 1 species